rnacentral:rRNA from 1 species
UACGGAGGGUGCAAACGUUGCUCGGAAUUAUUGGGCGUAAAGCGCACGUAGGCGGCUCCGCAAGUCGGAUGUGAAAUCCCUCGGCUCAACCAAGGAAGUGCAUCCGAAACUGCAGAGCUUGAGUACCAAAGAGGAUCGCGGAAUUCCCGGUGUAGAGGUGAAAUUCGUAGAUAUCGGGAGGAACACCAGUGGCGAAGGCGGCGAUCUGGGUGGAUACGUGACGCUGAGGUGCGAAAGCGUGGGGAGCAAACAGG